CAAUGGGCGCAAGCCUGAUGGAGCAACACCGCGUGAGUGAAGAAGGGUUUCGGCUCGUAAAGCUCUGUUGUUGGAGAAGAACGUGCGUAAGAGUAACUGUUUACGCAGUGACGGUAUCCAACCAGAAAGUCACGGCUAACUACGUGCCAGCAGCCGCGGUAAUACGUAGGUGGCAAGCGUUAUCCGGAUUUAUUGGGCGUAAAGCGAGCGCAGGCGGUUGCUUAGGUCUGAUGUGAAAGCCUUCGGCUUAACCGAAGAAGUGCAUCGGAAACCGGGCGACUUGAGUGCAGAAGAGGACAGUGGAACUC
rnacentral:rRNA from 2 species